AUGGUCUCCGGCGUCCCCCACCGCCCGGACGAGAACGGCGGGGGCGGCGGCCCGAGCUUCCCGCAGCAGCCGGCGCCCGUGGGCACUCCGCCGCCCUCCAGCGGCCUCGCGCACUCCGCCUCCACCAGCGGCGGCAGCGCCGGCGGCUCCCCGUCCAGCCGCAGCGAGCAGCAGGGCCCCGCCGCCACCAACGGCGCGGGCCCCGCGGCGUCCACGCCCGCCAGCGACGGCACGGCCUUCCUCCGCCUCAACAACCUCGACAUCAACGGCGACGACGCGCCUUCCUCGCAGGCUCCCAUCAGCAUCAAGAAGAAGAAGCGAAGAGCGGCAGCAGUUGGUCCUGAUAAAGGUGGCCGGGGGUUGCGACAGUUCAGUAUGAAAGUUUGCGAGAAAGUUGAAAGUAAAGGGAGAACAACAUAUAAUGAGGUGGCAGAUGAACUUGUUGCUGAGUUUACAGACCCCAAUAAUAAUAUUGAACCACCAGAUCCUGAUAAUCCGAAUGCACAACAAUAUGAUGAGAAAAAUAUUCGAAGGAGGGUUUAUGAUGCACUGAAUGUUCUGAUGGCUAUGGACAUUAUAUCUAAGGAUAAGAAGGAAAUACAGUGGAAAGGCUUGCCUCGGACUAGUAUAAAUGAUAUUGAAGAACUGCAGGCGGAUCUCGCCGGAGUGAAAGGAAGGAUUGAAAAGAAAAGUGCUUAUUUGCAGGAGCUACAAGAUCAAUAUCUAGGUAUGCAAAACUUAAUAAACCGAAAUGAGCAGCUGUAUGGUUCAGGAAACAUUCCUUCGGGUGGAGUGGCCUUGCCAUUCAUCCUUAUCCAGACACGGCCUCAUGCAACUGUCGAAGUUGAAAUAUCAGAAGAUAUGCAACUUGUGCAUUUUGACUUUAAUACCACCCCAUUUGAGUUGCACGAUGACUCGUAUGUGCUAAAAGCACUGAACUCGUAUGGAAAAGAAGAGAAUGCCGGUACUUCGGAGCCGAUAUCAAAUGGAUGCGAGGGCUCGAGCACGCCGAAUUUUUAUCGGCAUCAGAUACAACAAUCUGCAAUGGCAAGUAAUGGCACAAAUAGAUUACCAAGCUCACCACCACCCCCUGUUCCAGGCAUUCUGAAAGGGCGAGUGAAGCAUGAGCACCUGUACUAG
rnacentral:rRNA from 1 species